rnacentral:lncRNA from 10 species
UUUUCCCAGGUUUUUACAUCAGUUGUCCUUGUUCCUGGCCUGGACACUGAUAGAUAUCUGCCCAAAAGGACUGUAUCAAUUUUGAAAUGCUCCACUGUAAGAAAGAAUUCAACCGAAGGUCAUAAGGCAGAGAUAAAGAUCAAGGCAACUUUUAGAGCUGGAGUGAAAGUUUAUUAAAACAUUUUAGAGCAGGAAUGAAAGAAAGUAAAGUACAUUUUGAAGAGGAACAAGUGGGCAACUUGAGAAAUUCAUGCGCAAGAGAGACAAUCUAACAAUCACCUGAUCAUCACCUGAUGUUGCCUAAUGUUCCUGGCUGAUUGGGGGAAGCCUCUCCUGCCCUGCUCAUGUCUGACUACCUACUGUAACAAGAUCAGUGCCUGACACAUAGUAAGAGUUAUAGAUAGAGCUGUACCAUGUUGCCCAGGCUGAUCUCAAACUCAUGGGCUCAAGUGAUCCACCAGCCUUGUGGGCUCAACUGAUCCACCAGCCUUCGCCUCCAAAGUGUUGAGAUUACAGGCGUGAGCCACCACACCCAGCCUGAAAUGUUUUCAUCUUUAUCUAUGCUUACAAGCAUACUCAAACACAUUCUACUACAACCUUUCUUCUCCAUGUCUUCCCUUCUUGAAGCUACCACUGAGAACAAUUUUCAAAGACAUGAGAAGCUACCUGCGUGUAUUCUCUCUCCACUUCUCCAGCCUCAAAUCCUUAUGGAUAGCAUUCACUCCUGCUAGUCCCUCACAUUAUUUCAAAAGAAGUGAUUAGUUACUUCUCAUUUUCAAUUAUAAAGGCCACUUUUCAGUUUAGGUUGUAUUUAUUCUGAGAUAUGUUUGCUAUUUUUGUAUUGAAGUGUUUUGAUAAGCAAAUAACUUUGUAUUCUCUUAUCCCUGAGUAAAACAAUGCCAUCAGUCUUGGUGAAUAAAGCAUGUAUUAAAACUGAUUCAGUUAAUCCAUAAGAACCCAAUAGUUUAUCCAAUGUAAUUUAGAGAUACCCUAACAUAAACUACAAUCCUUUUAAAAAAUACAAAAGUCUUGUAUUAAAAGAAUUUCUAGGUUAUACAUUGAAUUAUUAUUCAAGUAAAACACCUAUUCAAUUAAAAGAAACUCUUUCAACUCAGUAAAAAUCUCCCAAAGGCUUUUACUAUUUCUUCUCCUCUUACUGACUCAGCAUGCUAUUGUUGUUUCAUUUUUUGAUAUAAACACAUGAAUGAAAAGUACACUGGAAUUGCUCUUCUUGAGGAUUAGGCUGACACUAAAAUUAUUUGGCUGUCUCCUUUGAAGCAAAGGUAAACACCAAUCAAAAUGUUUUGAAAUAAUCUUAAUGGUAAUGUCACAUUUAUGAAAAUCACUUUCACAAUUAACUACAAAAUAGGCAAAGUCAAGUGACAGUUAGUAGAACUAAAGGUAAUUUUUAAUUUUAGAGGGUAAGAGUAUUAAAUAGUAUCUAAUAUGAGAUUUUAGCAUUGAUUGUGUUCAUAGGGCUUUUGUCAGUGCAAGUAAUUGUGAUGAAACAAAAGAAAACACCUCUUUAAAAUAUUCAGCUUUACUAUGAUAGGUAAGCAAUUUGCCAACACCAAUGUUAAAAUCUAUUCUCUCUGAAUUUUUCCCCUGCUAUUUGAGUAUUGAAACUUUUAAAAGUAUUUACAGCAUGAGGAUCAACAAUUCAAGGUCAAAUGUUAAGAGUGACUAACAAACUUUUGAACUUGACUUAUUUGCCAGAAAAAAAGUACAAGUAUUAAAAUUAAUCAUCAUCAUCAUCAUAAUUAUUACUGUGCCAGUUAUUUUAUGGUCACAAGUAGAGUCCUAUUCAAAGGGAACUACUUCUUGUUGCAAGCUUACCAUGAUCCAUUCAGAAACAUUUUAAUAUUAUCCAUGUGAUCCUCUCAAAAUCCUCCUAUGGUAGCUAUUACUAACUGCACUGAGAGAGGAGAAAAUUGCCUGACUUGCCCGAAGUCAAACAUCUAGUAUCAGCAGCUUUGAAUUCAAAUGAGACUGGUACAACUUUAGUGUCAAUAGGUAUACAAUAUAUUCAUUUGCUCAAGAAAUGAGAAAUCUGGGGAUUAGCUUGUGUGACAAGAAUGUAAAGAGUUCACACGUCUCCUCUUUCUCCAAUAAGGAGUAUUCUGAUUCCCUGCUCAAUUUCUUGUCUUUUCAUUGUGUAGAAUUGGGGUGAUGAUUGACUGGGAAAAUUAAGAGGCACAAAAUUGACUUUAUCUUUUUUAUUUUGGAAGGAUAGAAAUCCACUGGUAGGGCUAGUGCCUGUGAGGGGACUGGAGAAGAGAGAAGAGAAAAUUUGGCUCAGAUUGAGUAGAUGAGAAAUUUUCCAAGAGUUAGACCAGAGAGAAGUUUCAGAGAAGUUUCUAUAAGAUCCUAAGAGUUAGAGAAAUAGGAUUGUCAAUAACUUUCGUUUUAUUAUUUGCUCAAGAGAGUAAACAUCAAGAGACACUUAAGAUCUAAAUAUUUUUACUUUUAGACACAGGCACGAAAUGUCAUAGAAUGUAAUGCUGGGUAGAUAGUGGGUUAUGAUGAUACUCGAGUUCAUUUUAAUUACAGUAGACAUUUGUCUAACAUUGAGAGGGAACUUUACAUUUUAAAAUGCAUUUCCCUCCCUUUAUAUUACAAUCAAUGCCUCCAGCAAUUAGUUAGGACACUGAACCUAAAAUUAUCUAAUUCUACAAGCUACCUCCCCUGGGUCUUCUCUGGAAGGCAGGAAACCAACUUUUCUCUUUAGGAAAGGAAAUUUCUAGCCGUCAAAUUGUCCUCCAAGCUUUAGAGACUAUCUGAAAAGUCAGUUGCCUGGGAACAAAUGACAGCAGCCUAGAGAAAAACAUGAAAUUUCCCUGUCAGCCAAGCUACAGGUAGAGGGGCAGCCCUUUUUGGGGAUGUUUACAGUUCCACUCAUUAUGGUUCAAACAGGAAAAUUUGGGGAAAUAUGUUUUAACCUGUGGUCUGAAGUACAACGGAACACCAUCCUUGGAAAUUAUUUUAUUGUGGGGAAAUUUACAGUGCUCCAAUCUAACCAAAAACUAACUCAGAUGAUGAAAGUGAGUAGCUGAGGUUUUUGAGAAGACCUGGUAUGUGAUGAAAGUUGGAAGUGUUUUAUCCAGGCUGGUGAGGUGCUGUACUACCUUUAUGUGCUAACACAGCCUGUUCAAAGCAACACACAGGAUCUUCAAGGACUUUGAAUAUGUGAUACAUGAUUACUUUCUUUAUGCUUGCACUAAGCAGCUUGAGCUACAUGUAUCUUCAUCUGAACUUUGCAUAUUUGGACACCAACUGACCUUUCUUCACAGACUCCACUGCAGCAAGCUCACUGAAGGACAUUUCACUCUGCAGUAAAAAAUCAUGUUCAAGCAGGCCCACUUCAAUGCUAUACCAAUAAGGCAAAGACAGAUAUCUUACAAAAGUUGAUGUAUUUCAUCAUCCUCUGUGCUAGUGCCCUUUUCAAAUAAAAAAUUGUCCCCUGUAUGCCUAUAUAUUAAGUUUUGGAGGAAUACUUCCACUCUUCUCUCCCAUCUCUUUGACAGACAAACUUCUUGAACAAGUUGUCUGUUCUCUGUUUUUGCAUAUCAUAAACUAUUUACUCUUCAAUGUCUUUAAUCUUUCAUCAUGAAUGUUUUACUGAGUUAGCUCUUCCUAAUUUCACACGAGUUGCAUGCUGCUAAAUCAAAUAUUAUUUUUCUAUCAUCAAUCCCUCUUUCUUGUCUUGAACAGGAUAAGAACAUUUAUUCAUUCAUGUAUUUGGUUUGUUCUACUAAUAUUGUUAAGUGCCUGCCUUUCGCAGACAGUAUUUUAAGCAAAGAAAAUAAAGCAGUUAUCAAUAAAGACAUGGUUCAUGUUCUCAUGAAGCAUAUGUUUUAUUGCGUAAGUCAAAUACUAUACAAAUAAUCAUAAAAUUAUGUUUAAUUAAUAUCCAAAAUAACUCCUCUUAAGAAAGGAAACUCGAGUGGAGUCUAGCACACAUUGAAAGUUGAGACCAAGCAUUUCUGAAGUGAGUCUUGAUCUGAGAUACAAAAAUGAGUAGAACUUUAUCUAAAGAGGUGAGGGGCUGGGAAAGCUGAGCAAAUUCCCCGUGCCAGAGGCAUCUUUUCCUGUACACUGACUGUCAGAAACACAGAGAAAGCCAGUGGCAUGCUUAAGAAGGAAAACAAUGAAGCUUCAUUAUAAUUUCUGUUAAUAUAGGGGGUUUUGGUAUCCAAGGACCUUCAGACAUCAUUUUAUUGGGUCCUCAAAACCCCCUGAGAGACACAGGUUAAGUAUACUCAUCCCCCAUUUUAUACAAGAGGAAGUUGAAACACAGAGAGUUCAUAAAGUGAGUUCCUAGAGGGUUCACAGUGGCAGUGCCCUGAUAAGAAGCCUGAUUUCUGAAGCCUUGUGAGAUUCUUACAGUCAGAUCUGCCAAGAUAGUCUCCUUUUUCUUCUAUAUCUCUGGUAAGACCUCAGUCUCCUUUAUAGACUCUUCUUCAUCUGGUCUUUACAUGUUGUAGUUCUUCCAAACUUGAUGCUAUGUGCUACUCUUUGUUCAUUUCCCGCUUUCUCCUAGGCGAGCUCAUCCACUUCCAUAAUCUCAAUUACCCUUCAAAAAAUGCUGACUCAUACAUUGAAGCCUUUAGCCUUGACCUCAUCUAUGAGUUACAAAACUUCAUAGCCAGCUCCCUAUUUGGCAUCUCUAUUUGUAGAACCACUUCUAUCUCUCUGUAUAUAAAAUUUAAAUAACAAUUUCACCCUGAAAAGGGAAAUAAUUUCACGCCUCUUAUUUUGGUGAUUAGCAUGAUUGUUAGCCAGUUAUAUAAGACAGAAAUUUGAUUUGUCCCUCUCGGUCACUUCCUAUAUCCAUCCAAACAUAAAAUUCUGCCACCACCCUACUCUAAAUCUACACUCCCAUUUUCCUGGGUAUAAAAAUACUCUCCUAACUAGUUUCUUAAAUUCAAUAUUGUCUUCACCCCAACACUCCUGCACAGUGCAAGUGAUUCUAUGAAGACUAAUCUAUUCAUGACAUCCCACCGACCCCAAACCUUCAAUAGAUGCCCAUUCUAGUGAAGUCUUUAAUGUGGCUGACUGGAACUUGCAGAAAAUGCUUACUGCCUAUCACUGUCUGCAUCCCAUUCAUGCAGGUGCCAUUCCUCAAUUCAGUAACUCACACUCACCAUGCUCUAUUGGUGAGCCCCACAAAGCCCCACAAAGACUGCUCCUUCUGACUCCUGUAUUUGUCUACCACUCUACUCAUUUUCUAGAAACAAAUUUGUAUAAAUUCCUUAAAGAUGCAUUUCCAAAUGCCCUAAAAUAAGUUAGAUAUCCCUUGUCAUACUAUUCUUACAUCCCAAAGCUGCUUUUCACAGUAAUCUUGACAAUGAUAAUAAUAUAAUAAACUGUGCGAUUGUGUAAUUAGGUUCUUAAAGUAUCUCCAGUUACUAUAUGAGCUUCAUGAUAAGAAGAACCACAUUUGCAUCUUUCAGAGAAUUCCAUAUUUCCCAUAAGACUUCCCAUAUUUCACAGCAACAUCCCCUUAUACUGAUUUGUGCAUCCGACCCACUCCCCCCCCAUCAAGAAUAUCUGCUUUCAUAGAUUUCACAGACUUCUUCCCUGCUUGUUGCAGUCUUUUGAGGAAAACCACAGUUCCCAUAGGUUCUUCUGAGGAUUUCCAGAAAACUAUUGCUUCAUGAAGAUCUAGCCUAUGCAUAUUCUACUUGUUUUACUCUGCCCUCUGUAUGUGCAGGAAAUGGAUAGUAGCCUCCAACCAGUACAUCAAAUUCUAAAUCGAUGAGCCAGGAUUGAGUGGGCUGAGCUUGUAAGUUGUUCAGCCUAUGAGCUCCAUAAUAACAAGGACUAUAUUUACUCUAAUUUUAGCCCCAAC